GUGGGGAAUUUUGGACAAUGGGCGCAAGCCUGAUCCAGCAAUGCCGCGUGCAGGAAGAAGGCCUUCGGGUUGUAAACUGCUUUUGUACGGAACGAAAAGGCUCUGGUUAAUACCUGGGGCUCAUGACGGUACCGUAAGAAUAAGCACCGGCUAACUACGUGCCAGCAGCCGCGGUAAUACGUAGGGUGCAAGCGUUAAUCGGAAUUACUGGGCGUAAAGCGUGCGCAGGCGGUUUUGUAAGACAGACGUGAAAUCCCCGGGCGCAACCUGGGAAUGGCGUUUGUGACUGCAAAGCUGGAGUGCGGCAGAGGGGGAUGGAAUUCCGCGUGUAGCAGUGAAAUGCGUAGAUAUGCGGAGGAACACCGAUGGCGAAGGCAAUCCCCUGGGCCAGCACUGACGCUCAUGCACGAAAGCGUGGGGAGCAAACAGGAUUAGAAACCCCGGUAGUCC
rnacentral:rRNA from 1 species